UACGUAGGUGGCAAGCGUUGUCCGGAUUUAUUGGGUUUAAAGGGUGCGUAGGCGGCCCUGUAAGUCAGCGGUGAAAUACGGCAGCUCAACUGUCGAGGUGCCGUUGAUACUGCGGGGCUUGAGUGUUGACGAGGCAGGCGGAAUUGACGGUGUAGCGGUGAAAUGCUUAGAUAUCGUCAAGAACACCGAUAGCGAAGGCAGCCUGCCAGGCAACAACUGACGCUGAGGCACGAAAGUGCGGGGAUCAAACAGG
rnacentral:rRNA from 1 species